AGCGAACGCUGGCGGCAGGCCUAACACAUGCAAGUCGAGCGGAUGACGGGAGCUUGCUCCUUGAUUCAGCGGCGGACGGGUGAGUAAUGCCUAGGAAUCUGCCUGGUAGUGGGGGACAACGUUUCGAAAGGAACGCUAAUACCGCAUACGUCCUACGGGAGAAAGCAGGGGACCUUCGGGCCUUGCGCUAUCAGAUGAGCCUAGGUCGGAUUAGCUAGUUGGUGAGGUAAUGGCUCACCAAGGCGACGAUCCGUAACUGGUCUGAGAGGAUGAUCAGUCACACUGGAACUGAGACACGGUCCAGACUCCUACGGGAGGCAGCAGUGGGGAAUAUUGGACAAUGGGCGAAAGCCUGAUCCAGCCAUGCCGCGUGUGUGAAGAAGGUCUUCGGAUUGUAAAGCACUUUAAGUUGGGAGGAAGGGCAGUAAGUUAAUACCUUGCUGUUUUGACGUUACCGACAGAAUAAGCACCGGCUAACUUCGUGCCAGCCGCCGCCGUAACAC
rnacentral:rRNA from 1 species